UGAUGAUGGUGAGGGAAAUUUCUGAGUAUACCCUUAAAUCUCUCGCAAGCUUGGUAGAGAUUCUCUACGUCUUUCUGUCUAAAAUUAAAUAUUUCACUCCUCAAGUG
rfam:Capsicum annuum cultivar Zunla-1 chromosome 9, whole genome shotgun sequence